AACCAGCAACAACUUCCUACUGCCAUAUGCAUACAUCGAAUAUGACACCACACCAAUAUGUAAAUCAUCACUAGACAGCUGUCGGAAGGUGGGUUUUACGCCCCAGGCGAACCAGCAACAACUUCCCAUUAUCACAUGCAUAUGCAGGAUAAGACACCAUACUGAUAAUGUAAAUGCUAGACAGCUGUCGGAAGGUGGGUUUUACGCCCCAGGCGAACCAGCAACAACUCCCCACUGUCACAUGCAUAUGCAGGAUAAGAUACCACACUGAUCAUGUAAAUUCUGGCCAGUAUCCAGAACAGAAAUCCAUCUCACAUCUAUAUACUAAACGGUACCUCGCGGGAAUUCUACAUCCGCGGAAAGCCAUACUGCACCUCGCGGGGUCUUACUAUGCCCGGCGGCAAGCAGAAUAUGAGUCGUAGGACCGGCCGAUCC
rnacentral:lncRNA from 1 species